ensembl:lncRNA
AAGAGGGUGGAGUGGGGGAGAGGUACAGAGAUGGAGGGGUGGAGAGUUGGAGGGGUGGAAAUGGAGGGGUAGAGAGAUGGAGGGUGGAGAUGGAGGGGUAGAGAGAUGGAGGGGUGGAGAUGGAGGUGUAGAUAAAUGGAGGGGUGGAGAUGGUAGGGGUAGAGAGAUGGAGGGGUACAGAGAUGGAGGGGUGGAGAUGGAGGGGUGGAGAGAUGGAGGGUAGAGAGAUGGAGGGGUGGAGAUGGAGGGGUAGGGAGAUGGAGGUAGGGUGGAUAGAUGGAGGGGUAGAGAGAUGGAGGGGUGGAGAGAUGGAGGGGGUGGAGGGGGAGAUGGAGGUAGGAUGGAGAGAUGGAGUGGGGGAGAUGGAGGUAGGGUGGAGAGAUGUUGGUAUAUGGAGUGGGGGAGAUGGAGGUAGGGUGGAGAGAUGUUGGUAGGGUGGAGAGAUGGAGUGGGGAGAUGGAGGUAGGGUGGAGAGAUGUUGGUAGGGUGGAGAGAUGGAGUGGGGAGAUGGAGGUGGGGUGGAGAGAUGUUGGUAGGGUGGAGAGAUGGAGUGGGGGAGAUGGAGGUAGGGUGGAGAGAUGGAGUGGGGAGAUGGAGGUAGGAUGGAGAGAUGGAGGUAGUGUGGAGAGAUGGAGGGGUAGAUAGAUGUAGGUAGAAAAAGUGUAUAGCCAUUCCCUGGUUCCUGAGGAUCCUCUACCAUAAUCCCUCUCUCAUUCUCUCUUCUACUACUCCUCUUUCUCUCACAUGCACACACUCUCCCUUUAUCUGC